rnacentral:rRNA from 1 species
UACAGAGGGUGCAAGCGUUGUUCGGAUUUACUGGGCGUAAAGGGCGCGUAGGCGGCCACCGCAAGUCGACUGUGAAAUCUCUGGGCUUAACCCAGAAAGGUCAGCCGAUACUGCGGGGCUAGAGUGCAGAAGGGGCAACUGGAAUUCUCGGUGUAGCGGUGAAAUGCGUAGAUAUCGAGAGGAACACCUGCGGCGAAGGCGGGUUGCUGGGCUGACACUGACGCUGAGGCGCGAAAGCUAGGGGGAGCGAACGGG